rnacentral:rRNA from 1 species
AACGUAGGAGACAAGCGUUAUCCGGAGUUACUGGGCGUAAAGGGCGUGUAGGCGGCCUUCUAAGUGGGUUGUGAAAGCGACUGGCUCAACCGGUCGAGGCCGACCCAGACUGGGAAGCUGGAGGGCGGUAGAGGGGUGUGGAAUUCCGGGUGUAGUGGUGAAAUGCGUAGAGAUCCGGAGGAACACCAGAGGCGAAGGCGACACUCUAGGCCGCACCUGACGCUGAGACGCGACAGCACGGGGAGCGAACGGG